rnacentral:rRNA from 1 species
UACGUAGGGUGCAAGCGUUGUCCGGAAUUAUUGGGCGUAAAGAGCUCGUAGGCGGUCUGUCACGUCGGCUGUGAAAAACCCGGGGGCUCAACCCCCGGGCCUGCAGCGAUACGGGCAGACUAGAGUGCGGUAGGGGGAGACUGGAAUUCCUGGUGUAGCGGUGAAAUGCGCAGAUAUCAGGAGGAACACCGGUGGCGAAGGCGGGACUCUGGGCCGAUACUGACGCUGAGGAGCGAAAGCGUGGGGAGCAAACAGG